rnacentral:rRNA from 1 species
UACGGGGGGGGCAAGCGUUGUUCGGAAUUACUGGGCGUAAAGGGCUCGUAGGUGGCCAACUAAGUCAGACGUGAAAUCCCUCAGCUUAACUGGGGAACUGCGUCUGAUACUGGAUGGCUUGAGUUUGGGAGAGGGAUGCGGAAUUCCAGGUGUAGCGGUGAAAUGCGUAGAUAUCUGGAGGAACACCGGUGGCGAAGGCGGCAUCCUGGACCAACACUGACACUGAGGAGCGAAAGGCCAGGGGAGCAAACGGGG